UACGGAGGGUGCGAGCGUUGUCCGGAAUCACUGGGCGUAAAGGGCGCGUAGGUGGCGACCCAAGUCAACGGUGAAAGCUCGGCGCUUAACGCCGAGUCGGCCGUCGAUACUGGGUGGCUCGAGCACUGUAGAGGCAGAUGGAAUUCCGGGUGUAGCGGUGGAAUGCGUAGAGAUCCGGAAGAACACCGGUGGCGAAGGCGGUCUGCUGGGCAGUUGCUGACACUGAGGCGCGACAGCGUGGGGAGCAAACAGGGAUUAAGAAA
rnacentral:rRNA from 1 species